AGUGAAUGCUGGCGGUAGGCCUAACACAUGCAAGUCGAACGGCAGCACAGUAAGAGCUUGCUCUUACGGGUGGCGAGUGGCGGACGGGUGAGGAAUACAUCGGAAUCUACUUUUUCGUGGGGGAUAACGUAGGGAAACUUACGCUAAUACCGCAUACGACCUACGGGUGAAAGCAGUGGAUCUUCGGACCUUGCGCGAUUGAAUGAGCCGAUGUCGGAUUAGCUAGUUGGCGGGGUAAAGGCCCACCAAGGCGACGAUCCGUAGCUGGUCUGAGAGGAUGAUCAGCCACACUGGAACUGAGACACGGUCCAGACUCCUACGGGAGGCAGCAGUGGGGAAUAUUGGACAAUGGGCGCAAGCCUGAUCCAGCCAUACCGCGUGGGUGAAGAAGGCCUUCGGGUUGUAAAGCCCUUUUGUUGGGAAAGAAAAGCAGCAGGUUAAUACCCCGCUGUUCUGACGGUACCCAAAGAAUAAGCACCGGCUAACUUCGUG
rnacentral:rRNA from 1 species